GAUUAUGGCUCAGGAUGAACGCUAGCUACAGGCUUAACACAUGCAAGUCGAGGGGCAGCAUGUUGGUUGCUUGCAACCAAUGAUGGCGACCGGCGCACGGGUGAGUAACGCGUAUCCAACCUUCCCCUUAGUAGGGCAUAGCCCGUAGAAAUGCGGAUUAAUACCCUAUGUUGUUCGAUGCGGACAUCUAAGUUGAACCAAAGGUUUACCGCUAAGGGAUGGGGAUGCGUCUGAUUAGGCAGCAGGCGGGGUAACGGCCCACCUGGCCGACGAUCAGUAGGGGUUCUGAGAGGAAGGUCCCCCACAUUGGAACUGAGACACGGUCCAAACUCCUACGGGAGGCAGCAGUGAGGAAUAUUGGUCAAUGGGCGCGAGCCUGAACCAGCCAAGUAGCGUGCAAGGAUGACGGCUCUAUGGGUUGUAAACUGCUUUUAUGCGGGGAUAAAGUGCGGCACGUGUGCCGUUUUGUAGGUACCGCAUGAAUAAGGACCGGCUAGUUCCGUGCCAGCCGCCGC
rnacentral:rRNA from 1 species